UUCCCCUUGACUUAGUUGGUAGAGCGUGGUGUUUGCAACGCCAGGGUUGUGGGUUUGAUUCCCACGGGGGACC
rnacentral:tRNA from 1 species